GUCUGAUGGUGCACUCCCGAGGCCCACCUCGGAACUGCAUUGGAAACUGAUUUACUUGAGUGCGAUAGAGGCAAGUGGAACUCCAUGUGUAGCGGUGAAAUGCGUAGAUAUGUGGAAGAACACCAGUGGCGAAAGCGGCUUGCUAGAUCGUAACUGACGUUGAGGCUCGAAAGUAUGGGUAGCAAACGGGAUUAGAUACCCCGGUAGUCCAUACCGUAAACGAUGGGUGCUAGUUGUUAAGAGGUUUCCGCCUCCUAGUGACGUAGCAAACGCAUUAAGCACCCCGCCUGAGGAGUACGGCCGCAAGGCUAAAACUUAAAGGAAUUGACGGGGACCCGCACAAGCGGUGGAGCAUGUGGUUUAAUUCGGA
rnacentral:rRNA from 1 species